AUGGUUGUAGAUUCCACUAUCGUAGGAAUAAAUGCUCUGUUGAAUAACAGUUCCAUCCCUGGUCCAUUUCAUCCUAUGCUAGUAUCAAGCUCACCUUUUCAUUUUUGUCCGUCAGUUGUCAGUGUCCAUCCAUUCCUGCAGGAUUGUUUAGUCAAAGUGCCGUCCAGUUGCUAUGAAGUUUCGAGUGGUCAUCAUUCACAUCCUUCAAAUCCUCUGAACACCUGUUUGGAGCAAUACAAAACCGCCCCUGACAUAUUAUACUCAAAUUUGAGAAUCAUUAUAUUGAGUCAAUUGUUUUAA
rnacentral:rRNA from 1 species